UUCUGUAAGCCUGUGAAGGUGAGUUGAGAAGCUUGCUGGAGGUAUCAGAAGUGCGAAUGCUGACAUGAGUAACGACAAUGGGUGUGAAAAACACCCACGCCGAAAGACCAAGGGUUCCUGCGCAACGUUAAUCGACGCAGGGUUAGUCGGUUCCUAAGGCGAGGCUGAAAAGCGUAGUCGAUGGGAAACAGGUUAAUAUUCCUGUACUUCUGGUUACUGCGAUGGAGGGACGGAGAAGGCUAGGCCAGCUUGGCGUUGGUUGUCCAAGUUUAAGGUGGUAGGCUGAAAUCUUAGGUAAAUCCGGGGUUUCAAGGCCGAGAGCUGAUGACGAGUCGUCUUUUAGAUGACGAAGUGGUUGAUGCCAUGCUUCCAAGAAAAGCUUCUAAGCUUCAGGUAACCAGGAACCGUACCCCAAACCGACACAGGUGGUCGGGUAGAGAAUACCAAGGCGCUUGAGAGAACUCGGGUGAAGGAACUAGGCAAAAUGGCACCGUAACUUCGGGAGAAGGUGCGCCGGCUAGGGUGAAGGAUUUACUCCGUAAGCUCUGGCUGGUCGAAGAUACCAGGCCGCUGCGACUGUUUAUUAAAAACACAGCACUCUGCAAACACGAAAGUGGACGUAUAGGGUGUGACGCCUGCCCGGUGCCGGAAGGUUAAUUGAUGGGGUUAGCGCAAGCGAAGCUCUUGAUCGAAGCCCCGGUAAACGGCGGCCGUAACUAUAACGGUCCUAAGGUAGCGAAAUUCCUUGUCGGGUAAGUUCCGACCUGCACGAAUGGCGUAACGAUGGCGGCGCUGUCUCCACCCGAGACUCAGUGAAAUUGAAAUCGCUGUGAAGAUGCAGUGUAUCCGCGGCUAGACGGAAAGACCCCGUGAACCUUUACUGUAGCUUUGCACUGGACUUUGAGCCUGCUUGUGUAGGAUAGGUGGGAGGCUUUGAAGCGUGGACGCCAGUUCGCGUGGAGCCAUCCUUGAAAUACCACCCUGGCAUGCUUGAGGUUCUAACUCUGGUCCGUGAUCCGGAUCGAGGACAGUGUAUGGUGGGCAGUUUGACUGGGGCGGUCUCCUCCUAAAGAGUAACGGAGGAGUACGAAGGUGCGCUCAGACCGGUCGGAAAUCGGUCGCAGAGUAUAAAGGCAAAAGCGCGCUUGACUGCGAGACAGACACGUCGAGCAGGUACGAAAGUAGGUCUUAGUGAUCCGGUGGUUCUGUAUGGAAGGGCCAUCGCUCAACGGAUAAAAGGUACUCCGGGGAUAACAGGCUGAUACCGCCCAAGAGUUCAUAUCGACGGCGGUGUUUGGCACCUCGAUGUCGGCUCAUCACAUCCUGGGGCUGAAGCCGG
rnacentral:rRNA from 1 species